CUAACGCUUGAAUACAUUAGCAUGGAAUAAUGAAAUAGGACGUUCGAUCCUAUUUUGUUGGUUUCUUAGGAUUGACGUAAUGAUUAAUAGGGAUAGUUGGGGGCAUUAGUAUUCAAUUGUCAGAGGUGAAAUUCUUGGAUUUAUUGAAGACUAACUACUGCGAAAAGCAUUUGCCAAGGAUGUUUUCAUUAAUCAAGAACGAAAGUUAGGGGAUCGAAGACGAUCAGAUACCGUCGUAGUCUUAACCAUAAACUAUGCCGACUAGGGAUCGGAUGAUGUUAAUUUUUAAUGACUCAUUCGGCGCCUUACG
rnacentral:rRNA from 1 species